CGCAGCCUUGUCAAAUUCGGUGCCUGCCCACCCAUGGCCUGCGCUGGCCCAAAAGGCUGCCAUAGAAACACUGUGACUCAUGGGCCCUGACCCCCUCUGCUGGGUCUCAGGGAUAGAUUUGGUUACAGACACCA
ensembl:snoRNA